rnacentral:rRNA from 1 species
AUUGAACGCUGGCGGCAGGCCUAACACAUGCAAGUCGAGCGGAUGAAGGGAGCUUGCUCCUGGAUUCAGCGGCGGACGGGUGAGUAAUGCCUAGGAAUCUGCCUGGUAGUGGGGGAUAACGUCCGGAAACGGGCGCUAAUACCGCAUACGUCCUGAGGGAGAAAGUGGGGGAUCUUCGGACCUCACGCUAUCAGAUGAGCCUAGGUCGGAUUAGCUAGUUGGUGGGGUAAAGGCCUACCAAGGCGACGAUCCGUAACUGGUCUGAGAGGAUGAUCAGUCACACUGGAACUGAGACACGGUCCAGACUCCUACGGGAGGCAGCAGUGGGGAAUAUUGGACAAUGGGCGAAAGCCUGAUCCAGCCAUGCCGCGUGUGUGAAGAAGGUCUUCGGAUUGUAAAGCACUUUAAGUUGGGAGGAAAGGCAGUAAGUUAAUGCCUUGCUGUUUUGACGUUACCAACAGAAUAAGCACCGGCUAACUUCGUG